ACGACCCACACCAUUCUGUUGUUGGGGUACGCCCACACCAUUCUGUUGUUGGGGUACGCCCACACCAUUCUGUUGUUGGGGUACGCCCACACCAUUCCUACACAGAAAAGAUGCUUUUAACAUAUUUAUUAAAGAAACGAUUGGAAGGAAAGUAUUUCACUCAUAUUAUAAGUAAUUAUAAGUCAUAUUUCAUAGAAAUCUGGAAACACUGGGAACUUACUUUAAUUAAGUUCCAGGCAGUUACAGGGCCUCUCGAGUGGCGCAGCGGUCUAAGGCAUCGCAGUGCGAGCUGUGCGCCUAGAGAUCCUGGUUCUAGUCCAGGUUCUGUCUCAGUGGUAGCUGUGUCAAUAGAGAUCCUGGUUCUAGUCCAGGUUCUGUCUCAGUGCUAGCUGUGCCACUAGAGAUCCUGGUUCUAGUCCAGGCGUGCCACUAGAGAUCCUGGUUCCAGUCCAGUUUCUGUCUCAGUGCGAGCUCUGUCACUAGAGAUCCUGGUUCUCGUCCAGGUUCUGUCUCCAUUGGAGCUGUGUCACUAAAGAUCCUGGUUCUAGUCCAGGCUCGCAUUCGUCCACAACCGGGAGAACAAUGAGGUGGUGCACAGCAUCGUCCGGGUUAGGGGAGGGUUUGGCCCAGCAUCGUCCGAUUUAGGGGAUGUUUUGGCCCAGCAUCGUCCAGGUUAGGGGAGUGUUUGGUCCAGCAUCGUCCGGGAUAGGGGAGGGUUUGGCCGGCAGGGAUGUUGUUGUCCCAUCGUGAACUAGCGACUCCUGUGGCGGGCCGGGCACAAUGCACGCUGACACGGUCGCCAGGUAUACAGUGUUAACUCCACCACAUUGGUGCAGCUGGCUUCCGGGUUAAGUGGGCAUUGUGUCAAGAAGCAGUGCGGCUUGGCUGGGUUGUGUUUCGGAGGACGCACGGCUCUCGACCUUUGCCUCUCCCGAGUCUGUACUGGAGUUGCAGCGAUGGGACAAGACUGUAACUACCAAUUGGAUGUCAUGAAAUUGGGGAGAAUUUUCUUAUUUUUUUUAAAACAGAAUAAAAUAAAAUAAAAUAUAUAGUUUUUAAAGCCAACAAAGGGCAAAGCCCUAAUUCUCACUCAGAACUCUCCCAGCUGAAAAUGUUUUCCAUUGUGUUUUGAGAAGCAUCAUAGCUGUAGCCCCUCCCCCUCAGAAGCAUCAUAGCUGUAGCCCCUCCCCCUCAGAAGCAUCAUAGCUGUAGCCCCUCCCCCUCAUAAGCAUCAUAGCUGUAGCCCCUCCCCCUCAGAAGCAUCAUAGCUGUAGCCCCUCCCCACCAGAGGCAUAAACUACUGUACUGACGUUUUCAAGUUUGAUUCAGAAGAUAAGAGAGAUUUUUAAUUAGAGAAGAAGGGAUUCACUUUUUCAAUGAUACUAUAGUUAUCACGUUUCACAUUGGAUUUAUUAACUACAGAAAGGUAAGAUGUGUUUUUAAUGCUGGUGACACUGAAGUUCAACGUUCCUCCAUAGAAGCCUCCUCCUCCGUAGGUAUAAUUCUGUGGGUCUAAUUCAGAUAAUGAUACGCUACAACAAGAUGCCCAGCUCUUCAAGACAAGCCUGCUCCUCCCUCUCUCGCUCUCUCCGCCCGCAAAAUGUAUGUGGCUUCUUGCGCUCUACACUUGUCUGUCCAACACGCAUGUAAAUAACUAGCUUGCCCGCUCCCAUAGCAAGCUGCUCUGUCCACACUGAUUGGUGCGGAAUGAAAGGAGUUCUGGUUCUAGAAUUUUGGUUCCAACCCCUGGGGUGUAUUCAUUACAAAACGGGGAGGGACUUAUCAGAAUUUGUCCAAUAGAAAAUCCCUCAAAAUUACUAAAUGUUCCCGAAUGAGCGAAUGUUUUACCCAGUUAGGGAACCUGACAACACAUGAGAGGGAACACACAGGGGAAGAUAAGACCACACUUUCCAGGACACCUACAAUAAGAUCAUAAAGGGGGCCUGUGUUCUGACAUGUGUUUUGACUGAGAAUUUGUGUUUUUGUUGAUGUCGCAUGAAAUCAUGUUUGUAUGAAAUAUUACCAGAAAAAAAAAUAGGCCUACUUGAGUUUUUUUUCCUCUCGAGACGAGACAUUUUAAAACGUGUAUUUUAUUUUGAUUAUGGAUUUGGAUUUAUUGAAUAGAAAUAUGAAAUAUGAACCCUUUAGAUGUUAAUGCUUUGAUUUGGAAAGGUGUAGAUUUUAUUAAAUAGAUUUGAAUGAAUGUGUAUUUCUUGUUUCUAACUUUGAAAAAAACUUGUCAAUUUAGUCGUUUUGUUUCAUUUAAUUAAUUUGUGUUGUCGUGUCUGUGACUAUCAUUAAAUGUGAAGACUUAUUUAUCAAAUCA